rnacentral:rRNA from 1 species
UACGGAGGGUGCGAGCGUUGUCCGGAAUCAUUGGGCGUAAAGGGCGCGUAGGUGGCGGCUUAAGCGUGCGGUGAAAGCUCGGGGCUCAACCCCGAGUCGGCCGUGCGAACUGAGUCGCUUGAGCACUGUAGAGGCAGGCGGAAUUCCGGGUGUAGCGGUGGAAUGCGUAGAGAUCCGGAAGAACACCGGUGGCGAAGGCGGCCUGACUGGGCAGUAGCUGACACUGAGGCGCGACAGCGUGGGAGCAAACAGG